ACGGCGGUAUCCGAAAAGCCGGUAAGAGAGUAGGAA
rfam:Chryseobacterium sp. Leaf201 contig_17, whole genome shotgun sequence.